rnacentral:rRNA from 1 species
GAUGAACGCUAGCGGCAGGCCUAAUACAUGCAAGUCGGACGGGAUUGAGGAGCUUGCUCUUCAUGAGAGUGGCGCACGGGUGCGUAACACGUAUGUAACCUACCUUGUUCAGGGGGAUAGCCUCUCGAAAGAGAGAUUAAGACCGCAUAACAUAUUGAAGUGGCACCACCUUAUUAUCGAAUAUUUAUAGGAACAAGAUGGGCAUGCGGAACAUUAGCUAGUUGGUGAGGUAACGGCUCACCAAGGCGACGAUGUUUAGGGGAUCUGAGAGGAUGGCCCCCCACACUGGUACUGAGACACGGACCAGACUCCUACGGGAGGCAGCAGUAAGGAAUAUUGGUCAAUGGACGGAAGUCUGAACCAGCCAUGCCGCGUGCAGGAAGACGGCCCUAUGGGUUGUAAACUGCUUUUGCAGGGGAAGAAACCUCUCUACGUGUAGAGAGCUGAAUGUACUCUGAGAAUAAGGAUCGGCUAACUCCGUGCCAGCAGCCGCCGUAA